rnacentral:pre_miRNA from 1 species
AGAGCUAUAGCUGGGUCAAAUGGUGGUUCCAUUCCAAGUCUUCUAAGGAAUCUUCUUACUGCUUUCCACAUUGGCUGCACCAGUUUGCAGUCCCACCAGCAAU